rnacentral:lncRNA from 1 species
AUCAAACAAGGAAUAUAUAAUUGACACCCCAAUGAGAUUGAGUUUAGGUACCAUCUAAUAAAAGACCACUAUAAUAAGUACAAUCUAUUGAAAUACCAACUAUAAUAACUAGAGAGAUCUCACUAGAAUAAGGUUGGAGCCAGCGGACAUCUGACAUGACAUCGGAAUCGAAUAAAUGAUAUAUUGUAGUAGAACCAAACAUAACCAAUUGUAGUAGAACCAAACAUAACCAACCUAGAGCGACCAUGCACCAACUCAUUCUUAGUACGCCCCACAGCUGUAUAAGUCUUCGGGGACCAUGUCAUCCCCACAUGCAUCGAAGGAAGGUCCUACUCUGCAUCGAAGGAAGGUCCUAUUCCCAUUAAUAGAAGGUACCUCGGUGAUUCUUCGUUCGGUCGUGCACCAACUCAUUCUUCUAUUAACAUAAAUGAGUCUGUGGAUGGUGUGGUUCUAUUGUCAUCGCACGUCGGACAUCGGUGGCGAUAUAAGGUAAUCAAUCCAAAUGCGUAAUCCAUACAAAUACGUAAUCCAUCCAACUCAUAUAAGUCAGAUUUCCCCCAGGAAGUAGGUAUAAGAAGUAGAAAGCAUGUCUUUUUAGUGCGAGCAGGGAUGAUUCGCUUCUCAGACACCGAAGUAUUAAGCUUAAACAAAAACCUUGGAAUGAAAGCAGAGAAUAGUAAUCCCAAACCAUCAACUUGGAAUGAAAGCGGAGACAGAGAAUACGAAUCCAAACCCAUACAUAGUUAAUACACGGGAUGUGUUUGGCAAUAAGGAACUCUACACAAUGUAUUUCUUAAUGGUUAUUCCAAAUAAUGUAGUUAUUCCAGAUAAUGUAUUUCUUAAUGGUUAUUCCAAGUUUCUGCAACCACAACUGCAGGAAGAAACAACAAUGUUUUUUAUUUAGAGUUAUUACAAGUGAUUAAUUCGCAGCGGCAGCCUAUCAACAGAAAAGACGAAGUGUGGAUUGUCAUUGAAAUGCUUUUUGAUAGAUAUUUGAGCUCGAAUUCUUUAUUGAGAAAACGAAUGACUUUAUAGAUGCUUAUAUAUGCUAACUGAUAUGCGCUAACUGAGAAGUCUAAGAACCCUAGUAUGCUUAUACACGCUAUAACCUAACACACAUUACGUAUGCUUAUAUACAUGAACCUACCACACUGUAUGUAUGCUUACGUACGCUACCCUCUAACACAUUCCUUUGCGUAUGUGGAGUGGAUCUGCCUCGCCAAGUACAUUAGGCUCGAAAGGGAUACUUGAAGCAAUGGAUACCUUACCUUAACUCGAACAUAGGAAUCAAAGAAGAAAGUCAGGAUCAUAGCAUAGGUGAACUACAGGAAUUGCGGACAGGGAUGUCAGAAUGAGAGACAGGAUGGUUAGCUUUAGAGCUAGUUGCAGACGACUUCCCCUUUGUAUUAAAGGUCGGAGCGGCAUACUUUCAUGAUUCUAGCAAUAGUGAGCCUCAGAGCUAAAGGUUCAAUAAAUAGUUUCAGGCAUGAUUGGCAGUUGAUGUGUUUAUGUCUUUCGGGUAGCUCAUUCUUGUGUUUGGGAUUCUUUUCUUAAUGCUGAUUCCUUCGUUCCAAUCUAAUUCUCAUACUGACUUCGCUAAUACUUACUUGACUGUUAUAUCUGAUAUCGUAUAAUAAUCACAGAAAUUGGAUUAUGGCUUUCCUUACUUUUAUUCUCAUGCUUACCAUUCUAAGUCACUGCCCUAUAUCUUACUACUAUUACUACCAAAAUGAGUCCGUUUGUCAGGUUCAUAGGCUUCCCUCAACAACUCAUUCUCGGUUUCCUUUCUGAGAUUUGGACUUUCUAGUUGUGAGUUAUACCUGCGGCUGCGGGUGCCCACUCUUCCUGUUAUAGGUUGAACUCCACGAAGUAUAUAGUAAGAGUCCACAGCUGACAAGUAACUACUAACUUAUGAGUUGACGAGCGUAUAAAUAAAUAAUGGAACUUCCACCCAGGAAACUCCAUUCCAUCCAUAAGGCACCCAGGAAACUCAAUUACAUCCAUAAGAAGGUAAGUCAUCUAAUGCAUAGAAAGGUACGGCAUCUAGCACAUAGAGUUAUAUGUACCACGUACCACUAGUUCUUAAAGCAGGUAUGUAAUCUAGCUCAUUUCAUUCUAACCUUUAGUUUGGGGGUCAAUUCGUAUUCUGAGUCUCUUAGUCUAUACUACUCUUCUCUCAGUCUCUUAGUCUCUACUACUCUUCUCUUAGUCUUUAGUCUACAACUUGGAAUGAGAAUGAAAACUCAUAGUAUAAUAAAAGUAAGGCAUCUAAAAGGAGGGAGUUUCACUCACUACCUAGCCCUGUUAUGCCUUGGUGGUUGGCGAGAAGGUAUAAAACUACUGCUUGCUACUCUGGAAUAAGAGGUUAAGAUAUUCUUGCUUGCUACUCUGGAAGAAGAGGUGAAGAUAUGAUAGUUUAGGCAAUCAAUAGUAUACGCUUGCCCAUUAGUAGUGACUUGUGGAGUAAACAAAUCAUUCAACAACUCUACCAGACGCCAUUGACGCACUUAGUCUUGAUCCGAAGUCAAAAACCUCUGCACUGCAAACAACUUUCUCCUUACGCACCGAGUCGACGAUGAAACUGUUUUCGGGAGUGAAACUAAGAUAUAAAGUAAGGGUAAUAAACCGGUACUGGUUCGGUGCUUGUGUUUAGCAAUGAAAGGUCGAGUUCGGAUAGCCUACCGAUCCUUGCUUACGUGACGGGAAUGGGUGCUAUGCCUUUACUUAGUAUGGUAUGUAUCUCUACCAGAACUUGCUAAUGGAGCGAAAUUGUAACAAGCAAAGGCUUUUCGAACUAACAAGGGCACUAGGUAGAUAGAGGUGGAGGUGGGCAUGAAUUCUUAAAGAGACGAUCUGAGGCUUCGGAGUCGGGGGGCUUCUAGAUACUUUGAAAGACACUGCUUCCCUUUCUUUUGAAUCAAACCAACCCGCGAGAACUAAGAUUUGGCUGAGGCUUAUUAAUAAGAUGAAACCUGGGAAUUCCAUUUCAAAUCAAAGAAGAGAUCUCGCAUAUAACAAGAAAGAGUAAGUGAAUUCUUUGACUGCUCAAGCUCCAUUCCUAUUAUCUUUUAUGAGAUGCGCAAGAGAACAAGCAAGGGGUGCUGGCGUUGGUGUUGGGUAUGGAUACAGGUAGAAUUCUAUAAUAUAAUUACCUUAGCUCGAAAGAAGGAUUCCAUUCCUGUCCUGUGCCACUUACAUAUCUGCUACUGUAUUUAGGGCGGUAGGGCAGCUCUUCUCAUCUGAUGGCUAAUCCAUCAUUUGAUGCCUAUAAUCUUAUUUGUCCAACUCCGUCUCAGUAUUCCGAUCCGAGUCUGUUUCUGAUCUUGGAGUUCAAUCUAACAGAGGUGGGCAAAAGGUAGACAAUAAGUGACUUGAGAGUUGAGGCCUAUAUAAGAAGUUUAGGGUGUGAGUGAAAAGAGACUAGCCCUUAUAGUAAGUGGAAUAAUUAAGUAGUUGCUUUGAUGCGAGGUAAAGUAAAGGCUUUGUUUGAUGCGAGGGUAGUUGUUUCAUUCAGUUACUAGGGGUAGGCUUGUGGAAUGAUAUUGACUUGCUUGUUAGGUGAGUUGUGGAAUGCCCGAAUUGACUAGCGGCUCUGCCGUUCCUAUAGCUCGCUACCGCGCCUAACUAGGCUUGGUCAUUAGUAGUGUCUUGGUCGUUAGUAGUUGCUUGCCCGGGAUUCACUUACCUUUUUGAGGGUUACUUGGCCCUUUUUUGCAUUUCAUAAUUGACGUUCAUAGCUUUGUAUGGAUCUCAGUAAUAGUCUAGGGGAGAGGUUUUGACUCACGGCGGUAAGCCAGCAAACGGUUCAUCAAGGAGAGUUCCUGAUUCCAGUAUUGUUCCUUUCCUGUAGAUCAAAGUCUAGAGAUAGGUUAUUGGCAGAACUUGGGUUGACCUUGCUUGUCGUGGAGAAUAGAAUGUUCGACAAUCAUCCGUGUAAGCAGUUUCAAGAGCAGACUCCGUUUCCAGAUUAUAAACACAAGAGAAAAGAAAAGGAUAAGAUUCCAAAGAAAGGAGAAGCAGUGUAUUUACUUCCUUCUAUCCCAAGUGCUUGAUAAACGAAAUGAGAAUCUUUUCCUGCUCUGGGAGUUGGAGGAGAUCCAAUCUUAUCUGCGCUAACCGGGCGUUAUGCAUUAGGCAGUGCCAAGAUAAGAAAAGAAGUAGUUUCAACUGAAUGAAAAAGUAUGAGUGAAGUCUAUCGGGCUAAAGUCGACUGUUAAAGCAGAGCCCGUAGUGGAUGUGUAUUCCAAGUCCGGAAGUCGGCUACAAUCGGUUAAGAAAUCCCUGUUACUCGUUUGUCGUAGUACAAUUGAUGAAUGGAAUUGUUCACACCUCUAGAGCAUUGAAACAAGUAAUAUUACAUACUGUAGUCAAAGUUGUGAUUACAUACUGUAGUCAAAGUUGUGUUGCUUGGCUGAAGUGCUAAGGUACGAUUUGGAAUGUACUUCUGAAGCGCUAAGUACUGAACCAGAGUCAAGAUCCAUAGCUAGAUCCGGAUCUCAAGCAGGGUAAUAAGCCAGAGAGGAAGCCUUAGGGCGAGGAAAGGAGACCAGAGAAAGAUCUUCAGCAGCAAUUCCAGUUUAGGUCGGAAAUUCCAAUUCAAAUGAAAGCAGAGUGAGAAAGUAAGUUGCCCGCAGGUAUACAAGCUUAGGUGAGUUCCACCAAGCAACUACGCAACAAGUAACUACGAAACUUUAAGGAGUGGCGAGCGGGACCCUACAUCCACUGUUUUCUUUACAGCUGCCUUUAACGCUGAAGAAGGACAUAAUGCAGGUUUAGGGCAAGUGCAAUAAGUCGGAUUUCUCUAAGUUGAAGUCACCAAGCAACUACUCGGUCGGUAGAGCGGAAAGGGAACCAGCACUACUACAGUGACAAGUCUAGUACAGGUACAAGUCUAUACCAAGCUUGGCUGUAGCAAGAGGAGAAGUAUAUUUGCAAUAGGUAAGAGGUAGUCUAGAAGUUACUUCACACUGAAAAAGACUCCUCUAUAUGAUUCGAAAACAGGUUAGCCAGGUCAGAGGGGUCUCAUAAUAAAGGUAUAGGAUCAAUAGUUCCAAGAUACAGUUCGAGUUCGGUCUAGGUUCCUGCUUGAAACUUACCUUCCCGCCUCAACGCUAGUAGUUAGUAUUUGAUGAAUCUUCUUGCUUUGCUUCUGUACUUUACCUGUUAUUGCUGGAUCUGCUCCAUUGACUUUCCUAUAGCUUUCACUCUCACAUAGUAUUCUUUCGUUGACUACACUGGCACCGCCUAUGAUCCAGAUCUUUCAAUUCUAAUGUAUCUACUUUCUGACGAGGAAAGAACAACUACGAAGGACUAUUUCUUAUUAGACACAAGAAUUCUACUUGAUACAGGACCUGGACUUGGAUACCCUCUAUGACACUGACACUCUAACUUCUCUUGCAGAUGCAGACAAUGCUCGAACAGAACUACAAAGAGCGGGCAGGGCAGCUCCCAACGGAGAAAGGUAUGCUGUGCUAGGAGAGUCAACUCGAGAGGAGAGUAAGAGAGAGAGUCAGAAUGGAAUAAUGGCGAGGUAAUAUAUAAGAGAAGAUAGUAUAUAGGAUAAGAUAGUAUAUAAGAGAAGAUAGUCAAAUCAGAUAGGUAGGCAAAGAUAGUAAUCAAGAAGAGUCGUAACAAAUAAUAACGAUAUAAGUGGAAAGUGGAGUUUCUUUGUCUGCGAGAUAAGUAAUUGUUUUACUGACAUUAGAUGGAUAUUGGUAACCAAGGAGUGGCCAAGUAACUACUAAAGCUGCUUAAGAAGUACUAUCUUAUCUUCUUACCCCACCCGAACUAACUGGUUGAAGUGAUAGGCUAUCUCGAGCCCAGUAUACGAGUUGGAGAAAUCAUAUAGUUUUGAGUUCUGGGGCAGAGGAGAGAUAUGGGGCAAGACAAUUCCGUUCUUGUUGUUGGCAAAGGGUAGGUCUACUCAAUAAUUAGCUGUUAUUGGAAAGGAUAAUACUCUUAAAGCAAAGGGCCAGGGCAGGGAAAGCAGGGUUGCUACAAGGCAAGCAUAUACUUAACUUAAUAAAAGAAUCGAAUUGGAUUUGAAGACAGAGUUGUUAAAGGCUUAUCGGAAGAUUUGUCAUAUAAUUAAUACUUUAGCAGAAUAUUGGUAAUACUCUCUUAUCCACCUUUAGUCUAGAGCAAGUCCAUGUCACCUAAUUAAUAGCUACGGAGCGUUUACAGGGUUUCUUCAGGAGCCAGAGAACUCGUACUGAAAUAUAGUAUUGGAGCCAAGCCCACCUAAUAGAGCUAGAGCACUAUCAAACCCUCGCCCACUUAUUUCAUUCCUAGACUUCAACCAGAGCUAUCCAAUUGACAUUACCCUCAUUGUUUAACCCGGACUUCCUAGAGAUCUUAGUCUAACGAAGACAUCUAUUGUAAUAACUUCUACAUGACUGGGAACUAUAGCAGCCCCUGAGGAAUGGACUCGUUUCUAAUUGGUUAUAAUCUGAUUCAAAAGAGAGAUUUGAGUUCCCUUGGCCCAUACACUAUUUCUAUACAAAAUGGAGUAGCUUAUCUUAUUAUAUUAUAUUUCAGGAGACUAGAGGGCCUUUUACUGACAUUGCCUUAUGUGAUUCUUUGACUCUUUAGAUUCAGUAUGACUCCCCUUGCUAGGAAACUGACACCAAUGCUUCCAAGGCUGCCCCGCCCUUCUUUGUCUCCGGUUUUCCCCAGAGGAACCGAUCUUAUGACAGAAAGAAAAGAAAUACAGAAAUAAGGUAUUACUGAGGGUAUGACCCAUCUUCUGCAAUUAGGCAAUAAGUUACUGAGGGUAUGACCCAUCUUCUGCAAUUAGGCAAUAAGCUAUCCCUCACUCUGGCUACGCAUGGAAUUAGUUCUUCCCCGGCCUGACCUCUCUUUCUGCCCUUUUCUAUAAAGUACACAGCUUCUAUUGUCUCCGUUACUACUGACUCUCUAAAGUACACAGCUUCUAUUGUCUCCGUUACUACUGACUCAACUAAUACUUAUUUCUUGAAGACCGAUCCAGUACACGAGCAGGACUAUCAUAUAUCUCUUAUCUUGACAACCACCUACUGUUCCUUUCCAGCAGAUGAUCUUAGCACUGAUCCUGGUCUUGCAACACUCGAUUUAUAGAUAUUGGCUUAAACACAAGAUUUAGACCCAUAGGAGUGAGACAUAGCUUCAAUUCCACUUACAGAAAGACGGAAGAGCAGGGAAAGGUCUUCCACUCAGGUACUUCCACUCAGGUAUUCCUAAGCGAUGUAAACCCUGGACUACUACUAUAAGAAGGCAAAACAGCUGCUGCUCCUAGGCAAUAGAGCUACUAGGAACAUGGCUUCAACGCGGCAGAGGAGUUUCACGGGUAUCCAAUAGUUUCAAGAGCGGAGGCAGGAUUAGAGGCAAGAUCAGAAGCGGGGGGUUAAGCUGUUCCUAGGCAAUAAACUAGUAGUUUCGUAGUCUAGGUAAUAACUUAUUAUAUAACAUAUUUGAUUGAGCUCCCCUAACGCCGAUGAUUAAUACUCCGUUAGCACAGAAUUCUAUUUCAAUGUAAGGAAAGGAAGCUUCAAGUGGGUUGGCUAAAAGAGACAGGGCCCAGCAACUAACUACUAGAUAACUUAGAGAACUUUAACUCUACUCUAAUCUAACUCAAUUGCUCUUUUCUACCUUCAUUCAGCUCCUCUACCGUAGUUAACAAAUCAAGUUAUUGCUCCCGAGCACCUAUCUCUCUGGUUGACUUUCGCCUUAACCGCUACGUGUAUGGGUGGAUUCGGCUGCAACUUACUAUAAGGGCUCGCUAACUGCUUACUUGAGAACUGAUCCUUCUCUUGCUUCUCAAUGGAGAUGAGGCUUCUAUAUAAGAUGAAAGUCACCCAGGUAGAGUGACCAAAUCAAUUAACGGGAACUUUUCGACUCCCUAUGCGACUCCAUAUAUGUGCUAUUCUUCUACUUAUACUAGAUGCACUAGCCCUAGGCAACCAAUCAUUGAUUCUUUCUUUCUUUAUAGCGAUAGCUCCGUAGUCAACGCUCACUUACUUUGUCUCCGGGUGGGGGGUCUGGUAGUGUUUAACUUCAAGUGGUCCUUUAGCUGUUUUUCCGUCAUCGGUCUCUUUGACUCCUAAAGAACUGAAAGGGCCGCUGGUUUUCCCUGCUGCGGGCAUUACAGAUAUUCCGACCUAGCUUUCCGUCAUUUCCUACUUACGCCAUCGUGUUUUCUGUCAUGUUAUUCCUCUUCCUUUUCCCACGCUUCCUUGUAAGCUAUACUCUUCCUUGCUUGGUUUAUCUCUACCACCUCUGCUUUUCGAGUACCUCCAUGGAUUUUCAAGGUGACCUUUUUUUCUACCUCAGCCACAUUACCUAGCUGGCUUAUCUCUCCCUCCUUUGCUAUCCACUCUUCUAGCCCCCACGUGUCUUCAUGGGUGUAUGUUAAGGCAAUAGCGCUUGAUAUGGCUAACCCUUCUAUGUAGGCUUGCAUCGGCCACGCAGCAUAAUAUGCCCCAGUGUCCCGCUCUUCCUCUUCUACUUCGGUAAUAUCUUCUUCUAUUAUCUGCCGCCAUCUGUGUGUGUGGCUCAUUUCUUUUUCCACGGCCCUAUGGUAAAGGGUCUCCACAAGCUUAUCAUAGGUGUUUAUCUGCUUCCAUAGAAUCUUCUCCCCAGUUGGCUGCUCAGCUUCUAUUCCCCUUGGUUUUCUUAUUGGUAUGAAUGCUAAUUCCAUGAGUGAUAGCACCCCCUCUUUCCUUUUAUCCCCAUAUUCUUCUCCUCGCCUCUUAGUACACAUUUGUUCUACAUGCGCUUGUGCAUUGUAGUGUAUGUGCUCAUGCGCCUAGAACCUUUGUUUCUUUCUUUUGUUACUGAGCUCAAUUCGGAUAGGCGCAACCCCGAGUUUCUACUGCUUUAGGUCCAUUCUCGAACCCACCACAUAUUUGAUGACUAUAGAAUUCUCAGUUGACUUCUGACCGGGCGCCAUUGGUUUGUUUGCCCUAGUAGAGAAAGAAGAUAGCUACGUAAGAGUCAAAGAGAGGAGAUAAGGGCUGAGAUAAAGUCAAGCAAGGUUAGUUGGCCGGGUAGGGAGAAUGCUAGAAGAGAGAGGGAGACUUCAGUUCAUAGGCGAGGAUCCAAACCCAUAGUGAAAGAAUCAAAGCAUCAAUACAUAAUGCAAGUAUGGAGUUUAGGGAAUGAAGAGGUGGACUUAGCUGGGUGAACUGCAGAAUGAGGUAAAGCUGUGUCAGGCCCAGAGCUAUUGGUAGAAGUUUGAAGCUACAAGUAUAGAAUGAAAAACAAAGGUAACAGAACGAGAUAAGGGAAAGGAAUACUGAAACAAGGAAUUUCGAAUUCCAGUAGAAAGUUUCAGAAUUCAAGUAGACCAUGACCAAGUAGGAGAAGUAAGUAGCAGACCAGGAUACCAGUAAGCAAGGCUUAGAUUAAGUAAUAUGAAGAAAGAAUGGAAUAAGUUCUUAUAAAGGAAGAAAGAAUGGAAUAAGUAGCCAGCAGCAGGGCUUGUUUGAUGAAGUUACUCGGGCAGGGUUGAGGAAUAAAAGGAAUCUUAUUUGGAUUAUCAAGAAAGACAGAAAGAAAGUCACUAAUGAGUUGAAACAGCAGAAUGAGCCUAGCCAGACAAUAGGGGUCUCGUUGCCUGAGUUAGAUUAGCUAGUUGCCAGAGGGGCUGUUUCAUCCGUUCUCCUUAAUUGGACCUAUCCGGUAUUCAAUUACAAACUACAGACAGGGUGAACUAGAAAGUCAGGGUGAAGUAUCAACCACUACUGGGUUCAGCACCAAGUGAGCAGCAAUCGAUAAGGGAGUUGUUAACUGGAAGGCAAAGGGGCCAAGCUUAGGAUAGACAAAGAAAAAGUCAUUCAUUUUCACCGGCCAGACCGUAUGAUUGGACACAUACACAAUGCACUUUAGGAAAGAUAGUCUAUAUUAUUAAUACAAUUUGGAGAGGAAGCAAAUUGGCCUUCGAUCGGACCCUACUGCCUACUUGCUCUGAUGUGAUAGGAUUCAAACCUUAAUUGGGUCAUACAACAAAAGCUCAGAUCACCAUUAGUUCAAAGUGGAGUUCUUUUACAAGUUCCCGGAUGGAGUUAUCUUUCAAAAGGACAACCACAGAGGGAACCGGGGCCAAAGAGGAGAUUCUUUUUCUUUCUGACACUUGCCUAAGUCUCUUUCCUUUGCUUGCCCUAGCCAUGUAUCUGCAGGAUAGAGGUAUAAAUGGCUACAGGUAAUAAAACGCAAACAAAUACAAAAGAACAAAUCCAAUCUCUUACUCACCACCUUGAAAGGAACGACAACUAUGCCAUGCUAAUAACGAGCGAGAUCAAAAAGGAAAAGGCGGACUCCAACUAUGAGCUACUGCUAGACAUAAUAAGAAUAUAGAGUUCCGCUUCUAGAUAGCUAUGGAUAUUCUCUCCGCUUCUAGAUAGCUAUGGAUAUUCUCUAGGUGGGGAAGGAAAUGGAUUUCUCACGGAAUUGCUUAAGGCACUUUACCUUGAAAUUGAUAACUAACUUAACAGGUAAGCGGCUGUAAGAGAAAGAACUCGAUCGAAGGAAUGGACGGGCUUACGCUUCAUAGUGGAAUCCUUUGUGCGUGGAUCGAAAAGCUACGGUGGCUCCAUACAGAGGAACCGGGCACCAACUCUCGAUUCUUCCUUGAACCUACGACUGUAGAUGCUACUCGAAGCAAUACGAUGGGGGCAGGGGGCGCCUUUCUCCCAGAGGAUUUCCUAUAAUAGUAAGUAAUUCGUUUCACAUUUAUAUAAUCUUCGUUUCACAUUAGGUAAUAGUAAGUAAUUCGUUUCACAUUUAUAUAAUCUUUCGUUUCACAUUUAUAUGAUCUUCGUUUCACAUUAGGAUUCUCUUCUUUCUUUUCUUCCCUCUAGACAGCUGAACUCCGUCAAGCAUGUAAGUUUAUAUAUAGAGUUUCAGUCGGUUGUUAACCCGUGGUGGUUAGCCUCUCAUUCGUUUUAAGUGCUCUCCGAAUCGUGCGGGAAGGUUUCUGGCUCACCAACAUUCUCUUCUGCCUGCGGGAACCAUAUGUCCGAACAGGCCUGGAAAAACAGAGAGGUGCGAUCCAUUCCUUUGCCACUCAAGUGGUAGUCCGUGCUCACUUCUUCCCUUUACUAAUGAAAGAGUCCACCGCCUGCCUUUGUAUUGUAGUCUCAGCGUGCUGGCCUUCCUUUUUAGACUCUACUAUAUGCCCGUUCGUGAUUGGUCUACUCAACUAUGUAGCGAUCGAAAGGUUCCACAAAUCCAGAAGGCAGUUUUUUCGUCCAGUAUGUUCUCACAAAUGACCGAUAUGCUAUGGUACCCAGGGGUGUGCUUAGGAACAGAUCGAUUCCGUAUCACCGCAGAGCAACACAACAGCUGUGUCCGGAUCAGAUUUCUCUACUCGGCAAUUCAUCUGGUUACUUAACGGUCGCCAAAGAAGCAUAAAACAUUUCCGAUGAGAUCCCCCAUAGAGCAAUUCUUAGAUAGCAAGCACUAGCUCCCAGUGCGACUUAAGAAAAUGCAAUCAAAGAUCCAGAUCGAAGAGAAUGAAACUAGAGUAGAGUAGUGGUAAUUAUAGCGGUUCCUUAUGAGCCUAGAAAACUAGAGAAAUUACCUGAAACUAAACUACCGAGCAUAGGAAAAAACACUACCCGUAGAUACAACAUUUAUAGUGUGAUCCGACAACAACAAAUCAGACAAUGGCAGAGCCGCCUGUGAUGGAGUGAUAGAUUUCUCUACGUCCGGAGAACGCUCGACCAUGAGUUUUCAAGGUUACAAACAAGGAACUUCCACUUAGAAAAUGAGGUCCGUCUCUAUGAGCUCCUGGGCAAUGCCGUUAUCACUAUGUGUAUAAACUACUACUCUUUGUUUGGGAGCUAAUGAAUCUCCUCCGAUGGGUGACCCGUGUACUUCUUUUCCUACAAGCAAUACAUUACCAAGGACUCUUGCACCCUUCCAGAAAGAUGAUCAAGAUCCUGAACGAGAUGAGAGUAAGGGAAUAGACCUAGCAACGUUUCAAACGCUUUACCUUAGUUCCCGUAUAUAGGUUGCUUCCGCUUCCGAUUCUUCUUCUAAUCCGUAUUCUACUCCUGCUCCUUAUGUAUCCUUAGGCGCAGUUUCGAAAAGAGCAUAUCCAUUUGCGAACUGGGAUGAAACUCAUUGACUUAGCGCUUAUAGAGUUAGGCACUGAACGAACAGAAUGGAAGAGAACGUUAUCCAUAUAGAAAGAAGUCACUCCACAGCUUACUCACUCUUAUUGAAUUAAAGUAAGGCGGGAAAGAGUAGAGUGGAAUGGAGUUCUGUUUUUAAGCUCAAAUGCAUUAGAACUACGGUUGUGGGCAACAUUCUAGGGAUUUGCCAUAAGAGUCGUUAACUGAGCUUCCACUUAGGGAAAUCCGCACUAGGCUAGGCACCGAACUCAAACAAGACUUUAUUUCCACGGGCUCCUUUAGCCGAACACAGGACUUGUAUUCCCUUUACCCAGCUCCAAUUCAUUCAAAUAAUUCCAUUCCAGUUUUAGGGUUAGUAAGCUGUUCAUUAAAGAAGGAGUAAGUGAGUUCCGAAGACCCCUCCGGCCCAUCAAUACUCCAUCGAAUCUCACUCCAUUUCUUUGAUACCUGAAUUCGGCAACUAUACCUCUGUCUACAAAUCCAGUGUUGGCUCUCAUCUCAUCUAACUCAAUGCGGAUCUUAUACCUUUGACUAAUUCCAUUCAAUUCUAAAGUUGUUGCUUGCCUGCCAUAGGUAAGUAUAUGAGCCUAAUUCCGCAAGUCCUGUGUUCGGGAACUAAAAGAGAGAAGGGCCUAGUGGGGUCCUCUCGAGAGUAAGGCUUAGAUCUCCCCUUAACGCCUAGGUUAUGAAAGAAAUCAAGCAAAAACUAAUAUGUAUUAGUGUAAUUCUGAGUGUCUUAGGCAGUACCGAUCUUCUUCUUUAAGAUGAGAAAGAGGCCUUACUAGGCACAGUCUACUUCAUACUUCGAGUGCUUUUUUGUGUACUAAUCGAAUUUCCUGUCUUCGCAGCUGCUUCUUAUCCUUAUGCUUUAACCAGAUAUAGCAUCCAGUUUUUUCUUCCACCCUGGAUAUAUAGUUACAGAUAUGGUUUCUUCUUCCACCCCCCGCGGAUAUUGCUUUCUCGGCCCUCGGCUACUGUACUCGUUUUUUCUUCCACCUAGUUAUUCUUUAUCAACUCCUCAUAUAUAUACUCUUCUUUAUCCUAUCUCCGGAUGUAUAUUUCUUGGCUUAUGCAUCUCGGUAUUCUUUCACAAGUAAUCCAUAACAGGAUCAAUCCAUAACAGAAGUAUAAGUGAGGAAGUUUAAGUAAGCGAGGAUACAAAGAAAACUCAGUAAUCAAACACAGAAUCAAGUACAAAAAUAAUCAAAUCAAAUAGUACCAUAAGAGAGAUAGGUUGGUUCGCCCUGUUCCACUUUACAUCAUUCUCAACCAUAUGUGUGCUCAAUAAGAUAAUAAAUAAUAAGAUAAUAAAUAGAGUAUUGAUUUUCAACAAGCAACGAAUAAACAAGCAAGGGGGCAAAGAACAGAGGAAAAGCAAAUAAGGUAAUAAGGGGUCCUCGCCAAUAACCAACCUCUAUCAUGGACACUUGAACUGGGAUUAGACUCAACAGGAAUUACACUUGCACUGGGAUGGGAUUACAUUCGAACAGGAAUGGAAGGAACUUGUAUGAAGCCCUAAGUAAACUCAUGGAAGUUGAGAACCACACGCACUACACUCCGUAAGCGCAACAAACAAAGCUUGUUUAGUUUCAGGUUACUCUUCAUUCUAUUAGUUCUUAGUUCUAUUGGAUUUUCAAUGAAAUAUUGGCAUAAGCAGAAUAAUAAAUGAAAGAAGCAAAGGAACUGACUGUUAACUUCAAUCUAGGGAAGCAAGGGAAAGAAACUCAACUGAAAGUCGAGGUCGGAGCAAAAGGUAAGGAGUGGAUUUUCUCUAUACUAGGUGUAGGUGCUCCAUAGAUUUCAUUGAAUUCUGAACUUCCAACUUCAAAGAUAGGUCGGCAACAAGGGUAACACGCGAGUCAGCAGCAGAAUGGACUGUUAGAUAGAGUUUCAUCGACAAGAUAAGAAGCUAGAUUAGGACCAGAAGCACAAAAAGCAGUAGCUGGUGAGGAAACAGUGCGUGCUGUCAUUUACGAUGGAAGCCCACUGGAUGGUGUUGUGGAAUACUCUCAAGUCAGAGUCUAAAGGUGGUUUUCAAUUCUUUCUGGCUUGGUUGGCGGUUUCUUAGUGUUAGUUUCAAGAUCCGUUGCCAAAGCCUAAUCCGGAUCUUUAGCAUAAGCAGUGCGACAUCUCGGUUAAGGUAUAAGUCAGAGGUCAGCUUCACUUCAUUCAAGUAGAGUUUCUUUUAGUGCUUCUUCUGCACUUCAUUCUUUUCCUGCACAAUCUUGUCUUCUAGACUCGAAAGAAAGCAAUGGGAUAACGAAUAAAAAGCGCGAAUUAAGAGCUCGAAAGAAAAGAGGAAGAAAGCCGCUCGUUCCUUUACUCAUUUGCAUGGACAACCCAAUCCUGAGAACAAAUUCAUUGUAACAUUGGGCAUCUGUUAUUGAAGGAAAUAUGAUAGGCUCAUUAAUUCCAAAUUCAUAACAUUGGGCAUCUCUUACUGGACAAUGAGCUUUAUUAUUAGAUACUUCCCAGUACUUAAACAAUAGGGUACCAUUACCAUUACAUAGAUAGAAAUGAUUUAGCCCACUUUCCUUAGGCUCCAGUCAGUUGUCGUUGAAUCCGGGCGAGGCUGUGGACCCGCGGCUACUGGUCUACUCUUCGUAGAUCUCCUGAGCGAGACCUAGGGUUGCCGUGUUAACAUCCUUCCUUACCGGUUGAAUGAUAAGAUUCUACAAAGGUUAACCAAGCCCAACCAAGAUGGAAGAUAUUGGAGUUUUUGCAUAAAAUCAGAUACGAAGACAGUUGCCUUUACUACCAUGCUUUCUGUGGUCGUGCUCUGUCUUUUUCGAAGCUUUUCCUUAACAGCAAAAGGUGUUUUUAGCUUCUAUUAGUAAUCUUAGACAGCUCGCAGCUGAACUCUUUUCCUCUUUCUUUUGCUUGCUUUGGAUAGAUCUUUCAAGGGCACUUUUGCUUGCUUUGGAUAGAUCUUUCAAGGGCAAAGUAUUCAUUCCGGGCAUGACUCAGAAGAUUCAGAGGGGGCAGGCACUUAAGUCCAGUCCUAUAUUGGUUCCUCAUUUCCCUAUGGUCGAGCGGUGGCGUGAUGAAGAAUAACUUAGAUGAUGACAAUGGAGCUAGUCACAGAGCUUAGUUAUAGGUUUCACUAUUCUCCCGAUGCAUGAAAGCGAAGUUAACCUACUGAUGAGAGAAGCAAUCCUCCUUCCUUCUAGGUGAUGAGAGAAGCAAUCCUCCUUCCUUCUAGGGCUGGGCUCAGAUCUCUUUUGAGUCGCAGUGUCUUUCCACUCCUGCGAUGACUAGGUAAAGCGGCAGAAGCUUCUUGCGCCUAAUUCCAUUGAGCUGCUAGGCUUCCUUACCUAAGCCCUUACUCGGAAAUGAAGUGUAAGACGCUAAGCCUAGGUUCAUUGGCCUUUUUUCGAUGUCAAUGCUCUUAGAGUGAUUCUCUAAUCUCUCAAAAAAGAAGGGUCGAACGAAAGAAGAACGUCUAGACUUUUCUCUGUAGGGCUAUUACUCGCUCCUCAAGAAAGACGGCUAGAAACUUCCUAUUAGGAAUGGCUUCCUUUCAGGUUCUGUUGUUACAAACCAGACUGUUAUAACAGGGCUUAGGGGCUACGGAGAACUCAUUUCAUACAGUAAAGCAAUGAUCGGGCAAUAGCGCAGAUAAGAUCAGACGGAAUGUGUGAAGGAUAUGGUUCUGGUUCUGGUUUAACCCCCUUCAUUAGUUGUUUAAUCCCGAGUAUCGUCUAGGCGACAUCCCUUGUUGAAUCUAACAAGUCACUUAUCAUGUUACGCGUUAGUCUAAGUAAUCUUUAGAUAAAGAAUAAAGAGAAAGAUAUACUGUAGUAGUCGCUUUGCCUCUAUCCUUAUUGGCUGCCGACCUCCACUCUUGCUACUUAGUGAAAUUCGAACUUUGACUACUUAGUUUCCCUAGAUGCAGGCCUAGGGGCUUACUUCUUAGGGCUUCGGAGAAUUGAGACCUUGACAACCAGUUGCAUUCUUUUAUUGACUUGUUUCAUUCUGAUUUUAUGAGGUUUCAUUCUGACCUUUCCUACCGCGGAGUUGAAUUCUGAGUGGAGUCUGUUUUCCUAUAUGAAGUUCUCCUAUGUUUUCUAUACUGUGUUGGUAUAGACAAAAUGGAAGUCGUUUUUCGCGUUAAGGAAGUGAGUAUCCGAGGCAGGAGCGGCACUGGAGGGUUCAGUGACUUAACGAAAAGGAGAGGGUGAACUUCAUCCACAUUAGCAGUAGGAUCCGCAAGAGGGCGAGUUUCUUAGUUUCUUAGAUGAGAAUGAGAAAAGAAAUACGGAGUUACUGACGAUACUGGCCUUAUAGUAAGUUCAGUUUGCAAGUGAGAAAGCUUAAGUAGGCUGUUGCUCCUUCCCUUGUUGUCUGCAAGAGAGGUUUAGUUGGUUGUUAGUCGGCUUGGCUGUUGACCUCGCCCAAUAAAGUAGUCCUGCCAAGGAAAUCAAUCAAUCAAGAAAUCCAGAAAGUAGAGCCAGAUUCAAAAGGACUCGAAUCUCACUCUGUCAACAAUACUUCUGAUUAUAGUUUCUAAGCACCAAUACUAGACCUAGAGAUUCCUACUACAACUUAACAUAUAAGCCUUUCACUCCUGGUGUUUGUAACCUAAUUAAUAGCUAAAGUCAAGUCCGGCUCGUUCCUUAUUCAAUAGAUGCAAAAGGUCUUGGGAAGAAAUAGACUCGUCGACAACACCUUUCUUUUCAGCGGAGAACCCCUGGGAAACUUCCUGCCACGCUACAUUCGUAGUUGCUUUGCUUAGCUUUAGAAGAUACCUCGCCUCUGCUCUUGCUAAAAAUACAGAUGAGUUGCGAGAACCACCUUGACCUCAUAUUAGAAUGAAACCAUUGAGUAUAAGGCUAUGAGGGUAUCAAACAAAAUACACUCCUCUCUCAUCGCCAACAACAAAUACAGAUGAAAGUCGUUCCGGGUAGUCCUGUUCUGGUGAUUGUUGAAUCUUAUUUAGCAGCAGUGCCAGGAAAGGAAAAAGCACUAGUAACGGCUGUCCUCUAUUGCUUCUGAAGUUUGAUCAAAUGGGACAGGACUUCACUUAGGAUUCUACUGGCACUUGACGCAUCCCUUUCUACUCCCCUUAUAUACAAGUUCCCACUCCCCUGAUUCCGUUUCUAAGCAACAAAUACAGGACAAAGAAAUGCAUUACUACACAAGACUUAACUGGAACUUGCACUAGAGCAGUCAAUUCUCCAGACGCGGGGGCUCCUUCUCAUUCUUCUGAUCUUGAAACAGCGGAAAUUCCAUUCCAUUCUUAUUGGCACUACCGGUAAGUCCACAAAGCCCCCUAAAUAAUAAGUUUGAACCUCUAUAUAGACAGGUAAGCUUUUGCCAUGAACACAGGACUCGGUAACAACUGAUACUAACGCACACGAGCACAGGUGCAGAUAAUAGGAUAGAGAUUGGCUGUUUCAUCUUAGCCUAGGUCUUAUAGAGGCAGGUCGCCUCCCCAUAGUAACAAUUGGUUACAUAAGAAUUCCACUCUAAACAAAGAAGUACGCCGCUGAAGACAGAGGCAAGACAAGAACAAGAACAAUACCACUACUACCAGGGUAUCUCGGGCGAAAGGAUGCUACCAGUCUUAUUGGAAAGCAAAACUCUUCUUUUUCAGAAUGGAGCACUAGGUGGGUCGACGAUAAAUAGGUUCUACUUACGCUAUUAAUUAGGUGAACUCAGGAUUAUACGUGACUUGUCUAGUGUCGGCGUAGUUGCUUGACUGAAAGCAAUUCCGAUCUCGUAUACUUGGACCAGGUACCCUAUUUGAAAACAGUAACACUACCGCCCUUCCCGCCUCCACUUUCUUUCUUUUAAUAACCCUCUCACGCCAACACACCAGUAAUGCCUUAUUCGAUUACCUUAGAAACAAGGACUUAGCAACCCGGUCAACUCUACCUAGAAACUUUCCUAGAGCUACAGCACCACCAACAUCGAGAUACCUAACUGCUGUAACAGCGGAUUCUCUUUCUUACCUAUAGCUUCUGUCCUCUCUUUUCCUUGGCCUAACUAACGAGUAAUUGCCUGUUUCCCUGUCCUCUAUGGCGACUUAAUAUAAGGGAAACUUAUACGGAUUCAAAACUGGGUUCCUUGCCUACCCGAACUAACUCUCACUCUGACCUUCCUUCCUGCUGUCCGUCAGAAGGGGAGGUCGGCACCCCGAGUGUCAUCUGUCUUUUCUCCUUUAUUAAGAUAGAAUUCAUUCUACUUUACCGGCAACUACAAAUAUCUCUGGGCCAAGCAGACAAUACAGAUUCCAUUAUGAAUUGUUGACAUAGGUAGAUGAGAGAGAGGGAAGUAGAUUAUUGAUUAUUAUAAGAUGUAAUUUACAAGUGCUUUCUUUGGAGAGUUGGGGAACCUAUGCAUUAAGUAUGAAAACUGGGAUUACUCAUAGUGAGUGACUUAUGUUGAGGUAUGCGAGGGAAGUAAUUGGACUGAGCCAUAGUUAGAUGAUAUGCGCAUCACCCUGAAACAGCCCGCCGAGCUACUACUGAAGUAGGAAAACACAAAGAAUUCAGUUAUACAAGACCUUGCCGGGGCAGCUGCUAAUGGUUUCGAAAGUUCCCUUCAUGAGGUAGGGUCGGGUGUGUGGAUGUAGCAAUGACAGGUAUAUAGUAGCUAAGGGAUAAGAAGAAAGAGGUGUUGCGGGGCACUAUCGUCUCAGCAGGAAAGAAAACAAUGGAGCGGUAGUAGUUUCAUCUAAUUUAGUAUUCCGUUUUCCACCUUAACACAGGACUUUCUCAUGUACUCUUUCCAAUAAGAAGCUGUACUACCGGUAUGAUACUCUGCAUCUAGUAUAAGGAAACUCAUCGAGCUGGUACGAUGUUCUGCAUCUAGUAUAGGUAUAAGUCUUAGAAGCAGGCCCUAUACAACAUUGCUAGUGCAUUACCUUUCCACUCCUAUAGGUAGGCGGGAGAGCAAUAACUUUCUUAGUUGACAGAAGAAGUCUCCGGGUUAGAGGAAAGCUGUCUAGUCCGCAGUGAGAGUUUAGAUCAGAAAGAGAUAUUCUUGUUUGGAAAGAAAGGAGACCGGAAAGCACUUUGUAAUGGCACCAACACCCGAAACAAGACUAAGUGCUAAGGCGAGAACAAGUGCAAAGCUUCAGUAAAUUCAAAGACUUCAGUAGCAGUUUACAAUUCCAAUUUCAAUCCUAUAUCACUAUUCUAAAUAGAUUCAAUAGAUAGAUUCAAUUUGAAAGAGGAGAGUAAGGAGUGAAGUAAGCAGUGAGGUAAUAAGUAAGUAAGCAGUCAGGGGUUAGGGUUAAUAACUUAGAUCUCAUAUAUCAAGAACAAGCAAUAUGGCACUAGAUGCAAAAUUCUAUUGUAUGGAAGCGGGGUAAUCAGUCAGAGUAAGAGAUAGAUUCCACAUUUCAAGUCAUAAUUUAGGUUACAAAGUUUGAAAUUCAGAAGAAAUUGAGGUUGCGAAGCAAAGAGAUGCUUACCCUCUGUUUGCUAGCUAAGUACGGUUGACAUGACAGUGUUGGCAAUGAUAGAGAGAUCAGAAACUUCUUCUGGAGCAAGAGGCGGUUAUAACGAGAAAAACCAGGAUCUGCUUGUUUGUUUGGUUACUUGAUUCAGUUGCCUAUCAACAGCUUACAGAGACUUUACCUUAUUGGUCCGCGUUCAUCAAGUCAAGGAUGGAGCAGGUGCUUGCGCUAACGACUGAAGCUAGAAGAUGUCCUGGAGUAUUUCUACGCUAGAGGUUGUCCUGGAGAGGGCUUUCUCUGUGCAUUCAUGUGCUGCUAGGGGAGUUGCAGGACUAAUUGACUUUGGCAUAGCUUAGAAGUACUAGACUAGACUCUAAAGGCGAUUGGCUUGGUCUUCAUUCUGCUUUACUAGAUGCUGUAGCCCAGGCAUCGAUGCACUAACUCAAGACUUCUAUAUACGAGAUGCACUGUGGGAUCAAAGCAGUAGCAAGUAAUUCCUCUCACACUCACAAGUCAGUUACCUUUCUUCUAAUUUCGACAUUAUCCCAUUUCUACGUGAAAGGGCAGAUAAUGAGUCUCAUCUUUAUCCUAUUGUGAUGUCAUCUCUAUGAAACCCGCUAUUCCUAUCAUGCGCUUCACUCUUCUCUUCCAACAGAAGCAAUAGCUGCUCCUUCUUUCUCUUGAAUCUGAUCUGCGGUAUCAAAAAGGAAAGAAUCCAUUUGUUACCCACUCUUCGCCUCUUUACGCUACGGAGCUACAGAGCCCAGCCCUACUGAACCUUUCUACUUAACAGCAUCUGAAGGCUUCCUUUCUACCUACAUUAACAGCAUCAUAAGGCUUCUUUACUCACCACCUCGUCGACAAAACAUCUUACUUUCGCGGAACAGUCAAAUCUUACUUUCUUUAGAAAAUUAUUACUUAUUACUUGGAGUUACACCUACAUAAGAAUAGUCACAUUCCAAAUAUCUAUGCAAUAUAUAUAAAGUAAUAUAUGGAGUAGGAUCAUAACCAAUUCCAUUUUUGUAGCCGGGAGCUAAGCCUAUGAAUAACUAGUGACCAAAUUCUUCUAUGAGCUACAGCCGGGUGCGGGGCAUUAAGGGACAUAGCUGGUACUACUGCCCUUCCAGUUAAAGGUAGUAAGGGCCUCCCCUCUUUCUAAGGAGCAAACGAGUUGGGUGUUUGUCGGGUAUAGAUCUUGGUUUGGAUACUUACUUCUAGAAACAAGCUCGAAAGAUGAAGUUUUGGGGUAAGAACAAGUGCGCUAAGGGAAUUGCUUGUGUGUAGCAAUGAAAGUAGAGUGAGGGUGCGCUUGCGGCUCAUCCAUCUAUGUCAUUCUGAACUCAAAGUAGAGGUCGAGUGGGGGAAUAAGAAAGGGAAGAGCUAUGUCUUUACUUAUAGAUCCAUCCCAGGUGCUCGAUACGAAAGAGUCAAUUACGGUUUUGGUGCUCGAUACGAAAGAGUCAAUUGCUGUUUUCCUUGCCGAUCAAUAGAUUCCGCUAACGUUGGCACUUCAGCGCAAGCAUCAAGUGAUGAACCGCUCCAGCCGCGCAACCACUGACGCACACGAACAACUAUUAACUGACGCCGAAAGCUGGACUUGCUCAUAAGUAAUUGCUUGCCUCUGAGUAACUAGUAGAAUGAUUUGGUAAGCGAGCCCAGCCCAAUAGUAGUAGCUUGAGGAGAGGUAUGAUAGUUUACAGAGGAGAGAGAUUGGCUAGUAGCAAGAGAGGAGAGGCAAGUGUCAUAAAUAGAGGUCGGGCCCUUAUAGUACUUUCUUUCCCCUUGUAAUGGAGGUCGGGUGCUAAAACUAAAGAAAGAAGUAGGGUCGGUAUGAACCUAAUGCUACUAGUAGUUGCUUGGCCCACUUCACCUUGCUUCAAAGCCUGUAAUAUAUUCUUCUAUAAACCCAACAAGUCACGUAUACAGACGCAAAGAAAGAUAGUAAGGAACCCAACAAGCAGCGGCUAGAAGCAAAGAUAGUAAGGAGGGACUCCAAUCAAUAUGGUUAAGUUAAUCACAAGUCUUUUAUCUGUGCUGCGCGUCAGUUAGUUAUGAGUUAAUACGAGUUAUAACCCCAGUCAGAAUUCUUACAUUAAUACGAGUGAUUCCUAAGUGGUUUAUCAUAGCGUUAGGUACGUGCCAGGCUCACCAACAUUCACUGUGUCGUGCCGCUUACAAUUAUUGUCAGUAUGGAACUGUGCGCGCCUAUAUUCUAUUUACCUUUCCGCGCGAAGGAGUUAUUUUAGCGAAUGACUUAUAAGGCCAGGGAUGCAUUAGCUUACUUUUAGGACAUGCUCUGGGCUACUGGGCAAUAAGAAUUAGCGGUGGGGGUUUAGUUACAGAAGGAAGACAGAGUCUUUAAUUAAGUGUUUUUACAACAUUCCAUAUUGUGCUCGAUAUAUUCAAUUGAAACAAACAGCAAGUGAACAAGCAACGGCACUAAAACAUUGCAACUCAACAUACAACACAACGGAAGAAACACCCAUUCUUUACGGACAUAGUAUAUGGUAAACAUACUGUCUCUCCUUCCUGACUUUCGAAAUCAAUGCAAUCUACCUUGCUUGCGCCUGUAACAUGAGAAAAAGAUCUUAUAUCAUUGCCUUAGCAAGCACCUUGAACUUGACCUUAGUUGUCGAGUUGGACUUGAAACUGGAUACUUGACUUUGCAAUCAAUACUUUCUACUUUACCUUGCAAUCAAUAUAGUAGAGGGAGCGUAACAUAGUAGGGAGAGUGUGAAGCCACCAGCUCCAAUUGAAUGGAAUUUAAGGUAGCUACACAACAUAUAGAAGAAAGUCAAAUAACACUAGAAAAUGAAACAAACAAAUAAGUAGUGUGCGCGCGCAUAACAUAAUAAGAAAGAUUUCAUAACUCGACAAAACACCUAUGAUUAUUACCCUCCGCGACGUAUCCUGAUUCUUACCCAAUUCUGAGUAUCCUUCUGAGUAUUCUUGGUAAAGUGAAUUGCGCUACCUAUGCUAUUGAUCUCUACCUAUGAUAUUGAUACAAAAUAGAGAAUAUAGUGAGGUAGCUUCGUUCCAUCAAUAUAGUCGGGUGGGUUUCGUUCCAUAUGUCAAUUGGGGUUGAUCUGAUGAGAAUGAGUGGUUUGCAACUUGACUAAUGAAAUGAGAAUGAGGAAGUCCUGUAUUUUGGUAUUUUGGAAAAAGAAAAGCGUUUGAAGCAUAUUGGAAGGGUCUGGAUCGAUAUGUAUAGGGCUCAAAGCUGGACAGAAGGGCUUACAGGGCUCUGGGAAAGAAAGGGGAGCUGGACUCCAAAAAGUAAACGAAUUCUUUCAGCCAUGCAACGACUCGUUCCGCUCACUAACCCCUGCUGGAUUUGAGACAGAAUUGCACCGGUGCCGUCUACUCCUAAGCUGCUUUCUCUACUGCUCCUUCACACAGGGGUAUACCUAAGGAGAAAGUGUAGAGUUCCUUGGAGCUAAAGGUUGAAACUACUCCCAUGCUUUCUAUUAUGUUGUAAACCAACCCGCUUUCUAUUCGAGUUGCCCUAAGGUAGGGAUAUUAGUGGAGGUAGAGGCUAAGAGAACCAUGAAAUGGAAUUGGACCUGUCUUGCACAUCAAAAAAUCCAAUUGUGAAACUAUAGCCUAGACGAGACGGCGGUCAUUGAUGGUUAUAAGGCGGGUGAUGUCUUUUAGCACGGGGGGUAGCAUGUCCUUUAGCACGGCUAGGAACCUUCCUUAUCCAACAAGCAGGAACCAUCCGAUCUUUUUGACAUAUUAUAUCCGAAAUUGGUGAACCCUUCCAAAUGGCCCAGAAAAUGACAGCCAGAAAAACGCCCUAAGCCCAUAUCAUAUAGCCUCGGCCUGUGAAAAUUAUGUUCAGCGGUCUAUACCCAAGUAGCUGUGGCCCAUGAUCCAAAGGACCCGAAACCUGUCUGCUAUCCUGACCCUAAAACCAACCCCACCUAUAUCUUUUCGGCUUCUUCAGCAGUAUAGAAUCUCGGUCCCUUACCUUGAUGCCUACAGCUCUAUUUGUUUUCCAGUGAUGGCAAGACGAAAUACUGCUUUGGAUUCAGAUUAUUGUGGUGUGUUGUUUCUGAAUGGCAUCAUAGCUACACGAGGGAAAGCAAUGCUGCCCACUCUGCCGCAAAGGGGGGCCCUACGAAAUGCCAGUUACACCAUAAGGGCCCAGCAAGCAUAAUAAUGAAGUUCCGAGGCAGCGUUUCAUUCCAGCAACAUAUGGUUCAAAACGCCUUGUUCCAUCCGAAUCCCCUCCAUAACUAUACUAGUCUAGUUUAGGUGUUAUUAGUAUUGCAAUCAAUAAUGAAUAAAUGUGAAAAGAACACUAAUAAUGAGCAGACCACUUUGAUAUGUGGGUGCAUUUUUGCAUGUAAGUGAGUUUCGAAUAAAGAAAGAAGCGCGCUCCUGUUAGUGUAACGUAGGUUUCUUUCUCGGUUGAUGGAUGGUAUAAAUGCCUAUAUCGCUUUGUAAUGUUAUUGUCAUGUUGAUGCUAUUGCUAUAUUAAAGAAUAUGAAAAGUGGCUCUUAGUCCCAUUCUUGAUGAUUGUCUUUCUCGUACUGUGUAAACGAACUUCAAGUAGGAAUUGUGUACUCAACAGGAAGCGUCGCAGCCUAGGUUUGGUUGGGGCCACCUCCGAUGUCGAUCUGCAGUAAUUGUUUUCUUCUAAAGUGGUUUUCCGAGGUAGGUUCUACCUAGAGCGAUUUGCCAGCAUCUUUCUAGGAUAUAGUUUACCUGUAUAAUGCAAAUGUCUCUUUCUAGGAUAUAGUGUUUACCUGUAUAAUGCAAAUGUCCAACACUUAGGUGCUUUAUAAGAUCAUCCUAUAUGAAAGAUGUAUUAUAUGUGUGGAUAAUGAAUGACUUGCCUGGUAUGCAAUCUGAACGUCCACAGAGUCAAAAAGGUCAGACCUAAUAAUCGAAAUGAGCUUAGCACAAUACGAUAUGGGAUAGAAACCUAAUCCUAGAAAACCCAUCACUGAACAAUCAUAGGAAUAGAAGAAAUAGGUUAAGACCAAGUGAAAGAACUCUCUAUGAGUUGGGCUACAUAAAAGAUCCUAUUCGCAAAUGGAUGUAGCUUAACCAAAUUGACCCAUAUCAACAACAAACGCUGGCAUACCCUUAUACUUCAGAGGUUGUUCCAGAAUCAAAACCUACAGGGCCUUCUCUGGGAUGAACUCGAAAAACCAGAAAGAAACAAAAGGGAGGAGUGGGAGCGCAAUCUCAUGACCUCGAGACAGUUUCGCGCCACAGAGCGGACCCUUUCAGAGUUCUCACACAGGGAAUGAUCAAAGAGAGACCACCUCGUGAGGACUAGAAAGAAUCCGGUGCACGAGCCAGAGGACGUGAGCCGCAGAUAUACUAACUUCUAGUGGAACGGGUUUGGUGGGGGAUCCUAAAUUCCUUGCUCGUAAACAGGCCUCCAUUGCAAAUGAGAACGAACUCUCGGGGUUCUGGAUGGAAUUUCCAAAUCCGAUCAAACGACUAUUUAUACCCGACGGAGGGUUCAUGUAGGUAGGUGUAGGCCAGACCGCUUGGUUCGAGGACCCGUUGGUCAAAGGGGAUUCCGGGAAGGAGCCGUAUGACGCGAUAGUUUCUACUCUUUAACUCUGGGCUGGGAGCGAGACCCUAAAAGAAGUUCAAUAAGCUAUGAGAAAAUAAGUUCAAUAAGCUAUUAAUAGUUUGAAAGGAAAGAUGGAAAGAGGGGAAUAGCUAGUUUGAAAGGAAAGAUGGAAAGAGGGGAAUAGCACGUAAUCAAAGGGAUAAUCGGAUAUAUGCUUCGUAAUCAAAGGGAUAAUCGGAUAUAUGCUUCGUAAUCAAAGGGAUAAUCGGAUAUAUGCUUCCCGAAGUUUCGCGCAUUUCUUAUGGUGGUAAAGUGAGACCACAUAAGAUAAGGAGCUCUUCCUCAUUCAGUCAGAUAUGGUGGGUUUUACCCUUUCUCUUUUUGUUUGAAUCUUCAUAUAGAAUUAAGGAACAACCCUUCCUUCCUCCCUGAAUUCAUUGAGUUGGAGGAAAGGAAUACACUUGAGGCCCGCCCGUUAUGCAUUGCAUGAAAGAACUGUAACUCACAUCGGUGAGGGCUGACUGCCCAGAUCCUGGUAGUACUGCUUUAGCAAAGCGAACGGUAGGUCGGACCAUUCUUCUGGAGCAAACCUUGCCUUUACAUAGCGGUGCCCUUUCGUUGUAGGCAAGACCCGACUUGCCCAUCAUCCAAUCCAUAACAAAUAGGGUGAAAGCCUUACUACUCAACACUCGAUUGAAAACCACCAUUACCACUAGAUUGAAAACCACCAUUACGUCGAAUCGGAAAAGGUUUGGAAUAGGGCUGAAGGUCAGUUCGGUGGUAAGAUCAGAAGGGUAGAUUCACGGGUGACUUCGGAGGGUGGGGAAGGAAAAGCUGGUGCUAAGCCGCCCUCACGUAAUGCCGCGCACAAGGAAGGGUUACAAGUUGGAUAUUAAUUCCUCCCCUUUCGACGAAGGGUUUUGAUAUGGUCUAUCGCCAAAAGCGGAAGUCCAAUCAGAAGCCGCAAGCAAAUGCCGUUCGUAGCUCGAGCCAGUUUCGUUUUCCAACAAAGUUCCAGUUCGCCAAGGAGUGUGAAGGCACAAAAAGCCGAAUCAUAAAGUCAGCAGCACCACCUACUACCGUCGAGUCGACCAAAAAGCCUUAGGCGCCAGGACUUUUCUUUCUCAAAUAAAUACGAGCAACUAUUUUAGUAAACCAGGGUCUAGGAUUUUCUCUGGAAAAGGUAAGAGGUCAACUUAGAGCAAAGCAAGCGAGCUUGCGAAGCAACCGAGGCAAGAGCGUGAAGCAGCUUUUCCCGGUUCUCUUGAAACAAAAGAUCUUUAUUCCUCAGCAUCAGGCGAUGUUUCAGUAGAAUCUGCAUCCAAACCAGAAUGGGACUACUCAGAAAGAAGGAAAAUGCACUUUUCCAUAAGAACCCGACAAGUCGAAUACAUAUCAUAAGAAUCGAGUCCUACGCCUCUUUGCCCUACUAUGAACUAGGAUCAGAAAAGGUUGGCUCAUAAUCGAAACUAAAAGACACCUGAAAAGCACACUUAGCGCGGUUCAUCAGGCAGAGGCUCCUUACUUUAUCGCCCACUACCCAGCUUAAACAUAUCCUAAUUAGGUUAGGAACUGAUUGAUCUUAACGAAAAAAGUGUGGCGUUAAAUGCUUUUUGAACCUCCAUGGAGUCAGUUUGUCGCUUCUUUCAGGAAUACACUGAAAAGUGAGCUCGUGUUGAGGUUAACUAUAUCAAUGUUGGGGGGUCAUUAUUCAGUAUGAGCGUAUAUUUCUUUAAGCAGUAUGAGCGUAUAUUUCUUGAAGCUUCUGGGGAAUAGGUUGCUUUCAGCAACAGGAAGUUAUGAAGUGUGUUCAGACUCACUUUACACAAAAAAGGGAACCCUAGUUCGAAAUAUGAAACAAGUUGGUUUGCAACAGGAGAGUCGGCGAAGAGAUCAACAGUCUUCCUUCAGUAGAAAGCCCCUAUCCAAGGUCAGGUGUAGUGUCUUCGCCCACCUUUACAUGUGCGAUUCUUCGCUCGCAGCGUUACGAACUAUCAAAAAGCUAUAAAUCGAACUCACUCUAGGAAUUCCCAAGCGUUAGCGAAGAAAGAAGCCUACUUUAAGAAGGCUGCCAAGAGGAGUCGAGCAAGUGGUUAAGUAUAUGGUAUACCUUGCCAUCGUCAGUGAUGGAGACACAUUGUAGACUCAUGACGGUUGGUUAACUGGAAGAUUCUUUACAUCCGUCUGAAAACUGUUAUUGGAUCAGGUGGGUCCUGCACUUCUCCACAAGUCUUCAUAGCAGCCUAAGGAAAUCUAAGCAAAGGAUCAAUGCUUGAGGCUGAGGCACGUUUAUUAGGAAGGAGGGAUAAAGAUUUGGAUGCCUCAGUGGAUUCAGAUCAUGGAUGACGCAUAUUCUCGUAUGCCUAUUUUGUGGAUUACGAUGCAGAGAAGAGAGAUCGAUCGCACUUCUGAGAAUUCGAAGAUUCUUUAUCAGUAAUUGGUUAACAAAUCAUUUCCUUUCGCUGCUGUUCGUUGGUUCAUAGGUCCCAGGGAAGAGAAAUUGAUGAAUUGGAGUAAGCUGGAUGGCAUUCACCUACCGUGGAGUAUGAGGGACUAGAAGAGAGAGACCUAGGUUUGGGAGACGAAGAGAGGGAGUGCUUUUCACUUCCAAAAGAUUGAUUGGCUCGGCCAGAGAAGAUGGAUAUUGGAUCACUCGUUCCCUCCCUUUGAUGGCAGCUAUCGGCUUAGUAGGUGUAGCCGGGAUUGCUUUUGACAUUGCCAGCAGCAGUUGGAUCGAAGGGGGAGAGGCCUUUCUUUUAAGAAGCACGAGUGCGCAAUAUCGGCUAUUUGGCUCAGUCAGCUUCAAAGCCGCCCGCAAGGUUCAAUCAACUCAAUGAAUCAGAUGAAAACGGACCUCCUACCCCUGUAGGGAGAAAUACUAGAAAGUCGACGUUCCUCAGGACUUGGCCGUUAUUAAAGUAUCAAGAAGAAGCACGGUAUCAAGGAACACAGUCGAAUAAUCAGAAUAAUCAGAGCACAAGUUCUAAAUAAUACGAAGGAGCCCCUGCUGCUGCAGAAUGACCUGUUCGACUGCCCUGCAAUAAAGCGCUAUUACUAGAGACCGUAGUUGCUUUCCUACCGCCCUGAAUACCUUACUCCGGGCCAAGCAGCCCUUUAGCACUACUUAACUACGUAGCUUGGCGAGCUCUGACUGAGAUUCAACCACUCCGGAUUCUUAUGAGAUUGUUUCUUGAUUGGCAAGAAUCCCCAAGGAAAUAGGCCUCCCUGUCCUGUGGAAGAGUCACAUCUGAGUCCACGCAAUUGAAUUAGUGAGUCAUUAAUGGUUUUGAUUACUUCACUACGCCAAUUUAGGGGUAUGGUUGCAAACUCGAUAGCCGAUAAUACUCCUUUUUCCUGCUGCUCCCCUAUUCACUGUCUUGGGUUGAAGUGUGCAAUAAAGCGUAGGAGCUCAUCUUUCCUUUCAUACGGAAUCCUUUUGGCAACGUAUAUUUGUGCUACCUGUUUUUGGAGGUGGUUAAUAAGCAUCGGUCUCCUUCCUGUAAGAGCUUAUCAAAAUGGCUUUCAAUGCUACUCUCUCUGUCUUUAGUUUUGGUUGGAGCUGUAAACAGGAAAAAGUAUCUGUGCGGUUUCCUCAUUAUACAUUAUCUUUAUGUUUUGAGCGUUCUCCCAAGGAAUACUUUUCUGCUGUAGUCUUCUUAUAAUGCAUCUGUAUAAGGUAGCAACAACCCUUUCUUAAACCAAGUUCUUUAUUUUGUUUACAAACCAGAAUAUACAAAAACCAUCUAGGAAGUUGACUAAAUGCCUAAUACUUUCAGGGGUGGAAUUGGUGAUGGCAAUAACAGGUACAUUUAGAUUCUUGUGAAAACAUCUUCCAUACUGAACCUACAAUCUUUCUGCCCAUCAAGUAUUUGGAGUAUAGAGCUGUGUGAGGCAGCCAUAGCAGCUUUAUUGUUUCCCCAUCCUGGCAUGCUAUCCUCCGGAAAAUGAAAUGAAUCCAAAACCCAAAGAAAUCAUAAUAGUAGUGUGCUCCUUGGAAAUCACGGAAUCUAGCACAUGGUGAAUAGAUGUUGAGAACUGAGCUAAGCAUAUGCUACAUUUAGGUUUUUUUCGUACUGGGUUUUCCAUAGAAUAGUAGUUCCUUAGUAUUCAAUGGCCUAUACAAGAUUAGGUUUCAUGUGAUCCCAUCUAAAAGUCAUUAUUUUUCCUUUCACUCGUCAAAGGAAUAUUCUUGUUAGGGUAUCCUUUUUGGAUUAAGUACUCUUUUGACCUAUCUUUCAAGCUAUUUUGCCUCAUCUUGAUGCUUAUAGUCUCUUCGAAGAUAGCUUUUAGAGCGUUAAAGUGCCUAAUGAGGUGAGCUUGUAAUUAAGGAUCAUCAUAUACUUGUUGCUCCCACUCAUCUAGGUUUUGGAUCUUAUGCAAGACAUCCACUUUCCAUUGGGGGGCUGGCUCUUUUUAUGCUGUGCUUGUGCUUUAGCGGUUUCCUGAAUUUGUUGAAGAGAGUGUUUCCCCAAAACUAUGGGCUGUUGAUCCUCUUUUAGUGUGUACCUGCAUACGGAGGCCCACGCUCUAUAAAAGGAGACAUGAAAUUGUGCCCCAAAAUGAUUAAGUCUCAGGUAAAGCCUUUCUUAGUAUGGAAGGAGUGCUGUUUUUUGUGCUCUUUCUUCCACUAAGAUUCCAACAUGGAAAUUAGGCCCUUGUUCGCCGAGUAGCAACAAUGAUGGUAGUACAUUUCAUUACUUUGAGAAUCCUAAUCCUAAUUGAAUCCUUAUCGAUUUGCUAUCUUUCUCUAGUCUUAUUCGCCCUACUUAAGGUGAGCAGAAGAUAUUUCCGGAGAUUUGUAUUGAUCCUAACACUGGGUUUCGUACUAGAAACUACUAUGAGAGAGAGAAAUGAAGCAUAAGAGGAAAUCAACACACUGUCACACUCGGGAAGAUCCUAUCCCACAGGGGAAAGAAACUACCUAAAAUAACUAGGAGAGGAAAACCGGAGGCAAACAAAACUCUGAACCGAGGGAACAACUACAACAAAAGGAACUAACUCAAAGAACAACUAAGUAUAUGCUGAAAAUGCAUUUAUUGAACGGGGAAGAAAAGUAGAUAAUAAGAAAGAGAAUCAACAGCCUAUAUUCCCGCUUCGCUUACUGCUGACUUUGGAAAAAGUGCUAUUCCCACGCUAAACGCUGACCCCAACACCGAGGAGUGGGUAUUCGCAUUCGGCUUCUGUAUCCGCAUAAGAUGAAACUCUCACUUCGAUUUCUGAACCAAGAUUAUGGUCCUUCCUUUUCACCCAAAAGAGAUUAUUGACGCCAACACCUAGAUACCAAACUUGAUACGGAACUUAUCAUUCGAGAGUCGACUUCCCGCGACAGGUUUGAUUCUGCCUCGACCUUUACUAGAGCUCUACUUUCUGGUAUUGCUGCUUACUUGCAAACUGGCAAUUCUCCAGCAUACUUUCCAACUCCCCUUUCUGACCCAACAAGAAAUUCAUUGAAUCUUUCGUAUCGAGCACUGCGUGGUAUAGAUCUUUGUGAAACCAUACCUUCCCUGCAUUCUUCAACAGAAACUUAUGUACAGAGUCGAGCACCGAGUCAACGUCCUGAACAGAAUCAUAAGUGUGUUUAAGUUGAAAUAGAGGAAUUUGUCAGGUAUUAUAGAAUAGGGUAACUAACCAAGUACAGUACGUGCUCUUCACUUAUUUAAGAAUCGAGUAUGAGGAGUUGAAACAUAAUCAUUAGCCCGAGGGGUCUCAUAGAUUGGAUUGGGGUAUAUCGAAUCAAUCUAUUAGGGGCAGGGACAGAAAGAGACUCGUCUGAAAGAGUAGCAAACAGCGAAAUCCCCUUAAGUAGCUUGGCCUCUCUUCUUUAUGUCUGCUGCAAGCGAUUCCACUUCUUUCCUCUCAAUACCCGAACAAAGCACUCGUUUUCAUCACUCUUAUCGGCACUAUUAACUGCAUGCAGCUCAUCCAACUCUGUAAACAAAUACUUUUAUUGCUCCCGAGCACAUAGCAAGUAGUAGUCCUGUGCAAGUUAGUAAGGGAAGCUUAGUCGAUAUCACCAAGCCGGUAUCACAAAAGCAAAUAGAUUAGUUACAAUCGGGGUUUCAUCCAUUACAGGCUCGAGUGUCGGUGCCCUAGCUAUAAGUCUACUCGAUCAGAUGCAAGCGGGAAGGAAAGAAAGACAGACUUAUGUAAACCACUCCACAAAGUCGAUUUCACUGCCCUACCCGAGCAAGUAAGUAAACAACACUACCCGCUUCGUCACCAACAACAAGAUCUUUUCCAAUAAGGGCUUUCCUAUGAUGCCAACUCUAUUAAUUAUACAGCCUUUGAUGCCCCUAGCCCUCUGAUCUUGUAUGGCUCCGAUACCGUAGUAAACAAUUAUGACUGGUUGUACCUGACCCGACGAGCAACUACUCCUCUUGAGCACCCUGCUACAAUACCACCGAGAAAGAGCCCUGCCCUACUGUGGUUGGUUGGAAGGAAGGAGCUGAAAGCCUUCUAUCUCUUAAUGCGCUCGAUCUUACCCGCGGAAUUCUUCUCUUGCUUCCUAGCCUGUUCCUACUAAGGAUUUGGAAACGACUUCUGAUCUUGUCGACGCUAACUUUCUUCUUUAAGUGAAGUGGAAUCUAUGUUUGUUGAGUCUGAUUGCUACCCGGGAAAACAUCUCUGUAAGUUUAGGGAGUUUGGCGAGGCGAUAGUCGCUACUGUAGGAGUGUUGUGAGGCCAAGCAGAUCGGAUUUGCGAGAGGGAGGAUAGAGAUUCGCCCCUUAUUGAAUCAGUAUUUCUUGCAAUAGUCGAGGCCCCAUCCCGAGUGGAAUCAGUAUUAGUUGACAGAGGAUGGGUUUAUUGAUCUGAAGCUGGAAGGAAAGAAAUCAAUCUGCAAAAAGGGUAUGGUUUCUUUGUUAUUAAGUUAAUGCGCUAGCAAGCCUUUCACUCCUGGCAUUGAUCCUGACCCGACUCACAGUUGACUUAGACAGCUUCCCUAUCUUUUGAAUCUUACUGGCUUGGCACUGCUUCCAUUCCUUGACUUCACAAGUCUAGGCCUCCAUAAUAAGUUUCGGGAAGCAAGGCUUUCAGCACCUUACUUUAACCACGGAAAAGAGGUGGGUACGGAGUGGCUCUUAGCCCAAGGUGUCGAGUUGGGGGUAGGGAGAGUGGAAUGAAGUUACUCGGGUAGGGAAAGAGACUUUACUGACUUUGGAAGCUAUAAGUACUUAAGUCUUGGAUCGUAUCGGGUAAAAGAAUCUUUAUAAAGAAGAAAAACAGUGUGACAAAAAAGAAUAGAGUGGACUGCACUCGAUAAGCAAAGGUCUUCCCCGGCUUCCUCUCUGGCUCUUGAAACUAGAAUGUUGGAUCCUAUCCCUGGGUUACUUUCAUCUUAUAUAGAAGCCGAAGCCUCAUCUGCUCUAAGGAAGGAUCACUAGAGAAAGAAAUCAAUAAAGAAAGAAAUCCAGUGCUCUUCUCUGGUAUUCCACUCCUAUUAUACCUAUUAAUACAAAGAAUAAGGGAUCUACUAAAGAGCUAAGGUCGACCACUACUCGGUUAAGGUAGUCAACCCAACAAGUAACACCGCACAACUACUUCAGAAUGGAAUGGAACCUUGAACGGAAGAAACAUAAGAAGAGGCUAAAGUAAGGUCUAGGCCGGCAAGGGAACCAGAAAGCUCUGUUCUCAAGUCAGCAUCAGCUGCGGGAGAAGAAUCAAGGGAAGCGUAGUUACUUGGCUACUUGUCGGCUUGGCUAAUUCACUUCCAGAAUAUAUAUUUGUUGGCUGCCCCUGUAGGGAAUCCUGUCUUUAUGGCUUACGGGAGUUCUGCUAACUGUAGUAUGUGCUACUUCCUUUCCCUAACCCAGUAUAGUACGAGUUACUUCCUUUAAGUAGUGAGUGACUGAACACUUGCAAAACACCUAUAGUCCAAAGAAAAACAAUGAAGAAAGGUAGGCAAGCGAUAAGGGUACGAUGUAGCGAGAUCCUCUUAUAGGAUAAGAUAAAGAUAAGAAAUAAUAGAAUAGGAGGGAAAUGAUACCAAUAGACAGAAUAGGAAGGAAGGAAGUAGACAGAAUAGGAAGGAAAUGAUACCUAUAGUUGAAAGCCAGUGCUAGGAUCAACAGUAUUAAAGAAGGGUAUAGCUUGGAAGCCUGAGAGUGUCAAGGGGACAAGCAACGUAGUGAGUUGCGCUAAAGGGCUGCUCUUCAGUAACUAAUUCCCUAUAAACCGGACUUGGUCAUAACUCGUAAUAACUACAUAUUUGUUGCUGAUGUAGUAGUAGCUUGUUGGAUUCAAGUAUCGUUCGGGCAAGACUCAGUGGUGUAAGAGAGUUCCGUAAGCCGUGUAGCAUAAGCGGACUUCUUCGGGCAGUCUUCCCAUACGCGCUCAUCAAUAAGAAAUAGAGUAUUAGUUGAGUCAGCAGUAUCAGUAGUAUAGUGAGUUUUGGAAGUGGGAAGUCGACUCGAUCAGAAUUUCAAGAAAGAGAAUAAGCUUUAUCUGAAGCCGAAGAUGGAUUAGAUGCAGCUGCAAGUGAAGAAAUAGGCAGAGGCGUAGGCAUCCUUUCGUUAAUAAACAGGAAUGGAAUAUCUUUCUUGUCUUGAAUAUUAAGUCGUCAACUAGAACAGCUUCUGAAACUAGAACAGCUUCUGAAGAACAGGAACUCGCCGAGCUACAGCAUCGACACUAAAACCGCUAACAGGAAUGGAAAUUGACCUAGAAACGGAGAUUGACUUUAUGCAACAACUUUACCGUUAGCCUUGUAAACCUUGGGGGGACAGUAAUCUUUCUCUGACUCUUAUUACCACUACGUAGGUCUAUACCCUAUAGCAUUUGCAUCUUUUACUUGCGCAAGAGACUUUUGAUACCACACAACUUAUUCUCUUACCGCUGAACCUCUUUCUCCACGACCGACGUAAAAACGGGUUCCCCCUAUUUGUAGAUACAAGUGCUUUCAAAUUCCAUAAAGAUAUUACGAGGCAGUGGGCUCUUUAAUUCCUCUCUUUCUUAUAUGUAUAUGAGACCUGCUUCAUAGAUCCUAGAACUGUAAUUCGUAUGGAAUCUGGAACUCGACUUGAGGAACCGACAACCCUGUAGUAUAAGUUAGCACCGAACCUUGACUUUGCUACAACAAAUAGGAGUGGAACAGAAAGAGUACACGCAACUGGAUCGGAUACAGAUUAACUUCCUGCGCGUACUUUCCUCUGCAACUUACUAUAGGGCUGUUUCUGGUUUCUCUUUUGAGUUUAGCUUAGCUGUUUUGAAAGUGUUAGUGAAUCCAGAGUUUCAUCCCGAGUUUACUGUGGAAGAAAUAGAAUAAUUCGGCAGGUCUGAUAGAGCUUAGUCACACUUAUGUGCCCUUUCACUGAAGUCUUUUAUACUAGACUCUGAUCCUAAGGUAUGAUCUAGACCCGAUCCAGCAGAUGAUCUUGAAACUGAGUCUGGACCUGGCAAUACUGUUCGAAUGCCUACAGGUCUUCUCUCUCUUGCACCGAGGCAAACUGCACUGGAAUCCUUCUUUCGAGCUGCGAGUAAAACAACCAAGCAUAUACUACAGUAGCAAAUGAACUCCGUAGUAUAAGAAGUCAUCAUCUACUAAUAGGAAUUCCACCGGAAAGCAUGAGACUAAGCAUAGGAAGAAGGGUAGUUGGAAUAAUAACUAAGGACAGGAAGAAGGGUGGUAGGAAUAAUAAUAGUAAGUCAGGAUAUUACUAAUAAGAUAAUAAUGGGAAGCCAGGGUAUGAACAAAGAAACUCGAAACAAAGAAUACAGAAACAGCCAAGCAGACAAUCAACUACUUUUCUCUACCUUCAGCCGACUCAGCCUCUGUCCUUAAUGUAAGGGCUGCCUCUCAUUUGUAAACUAAUACUGUUCAUUCGGCUCCCGAGCACAUAGCAAGUAAGAAAUAUAUUCUAACAGGAAUUAAUAGGGAAUGAAUAAGAAAUACUUGAUAACCGCCAGACUUAGCAAUAAACAAGUUAUAAACAAGUUAUAAACGAGUCCCUUCUUUGGUAGUCCUAGUGUUUGCCUGUAUUCGUUGUAUUCGUUGCUUGUCUACUUUCUUUUGACUUUCUUUGCCUUUGCCUAAAAAGUAGUUGCCUGUUCCAGCUCUUGCAGAUGAUCCUAAUCCGUAUCCUGAUCCAGGUGCUCCAGAGAUCCAAUUGAAUUCUGAAUUUCCACUUGACAAUUAUAGGCGAGGUCGGCGAAAGACAAACGUGGAGGUAAGGCAAGCUGACAAGUAUAUACUAGACAAGAGCGAGCUACAGGGUUGGCUAAGAGCUACCAAGCUACUCAAUUUCCCACUCCAGUUACUGUUCUUAUUGAAGUUGCAAGUCCUGUUAAAUGCCCGCUCUGGUAUUCUGACUUUUGAGUGGAAGUAUCAAGAUGGGUUAGUACUUACUUGGUCCGGAGCAUUAAGUUGAAGGUCAAGGAAGAAUCAAUUCCAUGCUUUGAAGCGGGAAAGAGAGAAUAGUUGGAAGUUGCCAGAGCUCGAGUNNNNNNNNNNNNNNNNNNNNCGGGGUGAACACUUAUUAUAGGUGUCGGGUUUCCAAGGGAAGCAGCAUACUUAUUAAUAAUAGGGCAGAAGGAGACAGCGCUAAUAGAGCUACACAGAAAGCAGGAUGGCUUGAACCCCCGCUUUCGGGGAUAUAUAUAUAUGGAUUCUUUCUUUAUAUGGUCAAAGGUGACCCUACCCUCAUCAACGAUCUGAAGGUAAGUAGCUGAAAGAUGAGCAAUUGGACUCAAGGGUGUGCAAAGCCUGUUGCUCGAAAAGGGGAUACGCGCUUGGUAGACGAAGCCCCCAGCCGAGGGAGAAUUCUGUCUCCACUGCAUCUUGACUUCGGUGCCUAAACAACAAGAGCACGGAAGACAGCUUUGUCCACAACUAACGUUUGCGCGUUAGCGAGUUCUGUGUUGUGCGUUAGGGUGAAUGUAGUAUAUAACUUAGUAAUAUUCCCUCAAUAAGUUGUUCUAUACGUGUUUGAAUGAUUUUGUUCAAUUCCAUUCUUUUCUUCAUGAAAGUGUCGAGCAAUCUUCCCUUCUAUGAUGACAUUGUAGCCCAGAACCCGACGCCUAACAUCUCAUAAGGCGCACGCACCCUAUAUAGUGAUAGCAAUAGGUAGUGUUGUGUAAGAAAGGAGCUUCUUGGCUUACGAAUCCGUUUUCUAUACAUGAGGCAGACGUUAUCCAAUGAAUGUUCAAUCUUACAAUAGGUAGAAACCCUCCAUCCCUUCACCCGCUACUAUAAUGACUGAGCCCGCUACUAUAAUUACUGAGCCCUUAUGAGAUACUCUCUUAUUUACAUAUAAUGACUGAGCCCUUAUGAGAGGAGAGACUUCUCUUAUUGACAACCGAAUCAAUUCAUUGUAAGUUUCAUUGAGCCUUUUCUAUCUUACUUAUUGAAGAGGCCUAAACUACUCGUUGGAGGAGACCGUAAGAAAGGACUCUCGGACGGGAAGCGGAAGAUGUUUAUUACGAGCCUAUAAUUAUACGUUUGUAUUAUGCAUCUCUAUUCUUAUUAAUUGCAGUCUUUCAUCAUAUAGUAGAUAUCAGAGACCUAAUACGGAACUAAUGGACUUACCCUAAUCAAUCUGUAUUCUGAAUUCAUCAUAGAAUGAGCUCUUCCUGUCUUUCCUACUCAUAGGCGCUUGUCCUCCCAACUAAUUUAUGGGCCUUUACUCAACUGGAUACUAAUAAGAGAUGGCCAGAGAGGAAGAUUGCCAAGGCCGACUGCAAGAGCACGCAGAACUAAUAUCGAUUCUGGUCUUCUUAACUUCCGAGCCGAGGGAGCUAUCGGUUUGGCUUGCUUACGAUAGGGCUUAUUCUUUAUAGUAAGGAAGGGAGUUAGGAAAUAGGUUCGUUCUUUGACUGUUGAGUUGAAUCGCUAGUCCGCUGUUAAAGUCAAGUAUAAUCGGUACGAGUGUCAAUCCUAGGAGCAGUAGCUACGGAAUGAUAAACAGUCGUUUUCGAAUUAGAGAAAGGUUUGUAAGGCUUGGGUUGCUGGUUGAGUGCAUUAUUCUUGUAUUGAUAUUCCUUGUUUAGAGGUUAAGCCCUAUACUAUGGAUACAGAGUGCAAUUCCUACUUAUGAGUUAUCUUACUAGCAGAGAGAACCAGAGAAAGGGUGCAAGCAAAGAAGGACAGACUAACAGAUAGGCUAGUUCAGAUCCGAAUCAGUGUUUCAAUAAAGUAGGGAGCGGGAGGCUAACAAGUCACCCAGGCAAGUAAGGCAUGGAGCUUAGGUGAGUUUUCUUGUAUGGGGAGGUAGGCUCGGGACACUAUGGGCAAUAGCUUGUCUCUUGGGGAGCGUUAUAGGUCGGUUGUGCCAGUUUCAUAUGCCCUAGUCCAUUUCUUGUCAGCAGUUCGUUCGAUUGGGAUAUUGCUAGUAGUAAGACCAAUGGGCAGUAUUAUCAUACUCAUAAAAGGGUGUAAAACUCCUGCAGCAUAACAUUACCUUCACUGACUUACGCUUUAACUCACUACCGCGACACCAAGCAAAUCACUCAUUUAGAACAAAUACAUAUAUAUAUAUUGUUGUUUGUCUUAUUACAUACAGUUGUUGUUUAGUGUCUUGGUGGUUAAACAGCACUGACAUUUCACUCACUACCGACAAGCUCAACAGGAAUAAUAACUAAUACAUAUAUAUAUUAUGUGAGUUCCGUAUUAGAGUUGUAGUUGGAGCAGAAAACAACACUGACGCUUUAACUGCACUGACACCGAAAGCAAGGCAUGAAUAGAAGGCCAGCUACUAAUCCUAGGACAUAAGAGAAUAGGGCACUGGCAUAGGCAUCUAGAAUAGUCGUCAAUAUAAUAGUUGUAUUGGUUAGUGUUAGGUAGUGUUUUUACUAUACUUAAUGGACAAAUUGGAUAGCUCAAUUCUCUUCUUUCAGCUCGAGUCCUAUAAUUCGAAUAACCAAAUAAGGCAUUGCUUUCCUUCCUCCAAAGCUCAUGGGCGCCUAAUGCACUUUGACUUUAUACCCUAGCUUCUGAUGCUGACUCAUUGCUUGUUCUUGUUCCUCUUGUUCUUACACCGCUACUUGUUGAAUAAAAUAUGCACAUCAACUAAAAUCAGAAAGGGUAAGUUGACUCCUUGACUCCUUUGCGGGCUAUAGGAAGGGUAGCACAGUCUUGCUUGGUUGUAUUGGGAUAGACAUAACCUUUUCUCUUACAGCAGGAGCAUACCCAGCUAGUCAACGAUUAGCAGCUUCAAAUCUAACAACCGUGUGUGAGCACCCUCGAAAGAAAGAUCGAAUUGAACUCACUGCCUAACAAUAUAAAUGAGAAAAGAAUGAUACUUUUAUACAUGAGGUAACCUUACUUCUUUGCUUACUCUACUACUAGUUUGCUUGUAGCUCCGUUAGCUAGUGCCUAAGCGUAAGCGCCCAGCCCUUUUACUUGGCUUGAUCUUAGUAGUAGAGCUGUUAACUCCUUACUUCAAGUUGACAGUUCAAUUGAUCCGCGCGUCAAGAGAAAUAUUGCAUAAUUAUUGGACUUUUAGAAAUAUUGCAUAAUUAUUGGACUUUGAAGCAAGGUGAAUUGGAGAAUAGCCAGUUCUGUUCAAGUUUCAUCGUGAAGAGAAGAAGAUCAGACUGCCCUCACUCGACUUAGAGCUAGAAAUAAAGGACUUGGUAAUAACAACCCUGAACUGGCCAUUCUGUAGCUGACGACUUCACCGUUCAAUCCUCUCCUCGCUUUCCACUUCUCCUUUCUACUCUAACUACGGAUUCUACUGAUCUUGUUUCCUCACCUGAUCUUUAUUAUUCUUUUUCCUUGAACGAUACUUGAAUUGCAGCAUACAAGCGGUACUCUGACUUUGGAUACUGAACUGCUCCGGGGGGCUAAUCUACUUAUUGCCUUAAGCGCUGCUUAGGAACGUUGCUUGUUAGCUUGUUUAUUCCCUCUUGAAUGAAAUACUGAGGGUCGCCCUAGAAGUGAAAGUUGUAACCCAUCGUGGCCACUACUUAAGUACCAAACCUUUAAGCGAUGGGGCCAAGGUUAAGAUAGUCUGCCCUAUAAGUGGUGAGUGACUGAAGCCGAAGAAGAAUCCCCAUCUGCUGUAAGAGGUAUAAGGGAUAAUCAUUCUAUACCAAGUUAUCGAGUGGAGGUCUGGGAAUCUAAUAAUACCGGUACUUUUUCUAGUGCUUGUGUCUAUAAGUAAUAAAGUAACGUUUGAGCAAGGAUCUCUAUAGAUCCAUCGAAGGUGAAAGAGAAAACGGGCCUAAUAAAGCUUAGUCAAACCAUACAUUGGGCGAGUUUUCUACUAGAAAGGUGACUCUGCUAGCCAAACUAUACGGAUUAUAAGACCAAAUCAAUUUCUCUUUCUGGUGGGCGAAGGAAGACCUUACUUCCAGAGUGAAAGUCAAGUUCCUACAAAGGCAGAUUCAUUAGUUCGAUUUAUUAUGAUUAUUCCAGAAUGGUUGACCCUGUUGGGAGUGGACGAAUAGAUUUGUUGGGAGUGGACGAAUAGAUCCCUGCUUCGUAACUGUGUGAGCCCUGGGAUUACUAUCCUUUUGGACCUCCUAAAACUACGUCGUUAAGAGGAUGCUUCUACUUGAGUUAGCUUGUACCCUGAUUGAUGCGGUCUCGCCGGGCAUUGAAUUGGCACAAGUUACCCGUUAGAUCUACCAUCUCCUGCUUUUCAAGUGAAUUGAACCGUUAGGGGAAUGUUAGAUAGACGUGAAUUACUUAAGGCAGGAUCCGCCCUGAAAACAGAUGUUCCAGAAGAAACGACCCUUGAAAUAUGAAAUAAAGAUGCGGAGCGAUGAAUGACUUUCUGCAGCAAGAUGAGGAGCGGUAGGGUAUUUCCCUUUGGCUUUUGCUCUUCCUUUUCAUUGCUUUACCUAAAUAAGGUGAAGACGGGGUUGGGUUCUUGUCUAGGUUAUGAUCGCCGAAUCCGAUGCUCCAUGACGUUUUCGUUCAAGUCCAGUUAGAGGUAAGCUUCUGAAUGCCUUAGCAGCAAUAGGGUCAUUUUGAAUGCCUUAGCAGCAAUAGGGUAAGCUUCUGAAUGCCUUAGCAGCCGUAGCUCUGUCUUUAAAGGUAGUUUCCGUUUUAGAGCUAUGCUUUGUAAGGCCUAUGUUUUAGGGCACAGUGUUUUAAGUUAGCAAUAAUCGAAUUCGCUUUAAGGAGCCAGGGUUAGCGCCCCUGGGAAGUCCGGCCUAUAGACAGUAGAUAAGGGCUAAGAGCGGGUAAAGCGAGGGUCGAGGUCAGGAUCGGAAGAGCCAUACUCAAUUGUUAGGUCAGUAGCGGAAGGAUGAAAUGCGCGGGCAAGGCUAUGGGGGUGAACUCAGUGCCUUUCUUUCCGGUAGUGGUUAAAGGUCUUGUUAGCACUAGGUGUAUUAUGUAUUCCUGUGUGUUUUGAUCGGAAAUAGAUCAUGUAAUGCGCCUAAGAGAGCUUAUAAUGCAUUUAAAGCCUACACCUGAACACCUUAAGCCUAGAGCAGCGCACCAACAACUAAGAGAAUGAAAGUCCGGGUAAACGAGAAAUAAGACCUGUGCUUCAAUAUUAGUUGACCCUGGUCGACUCGAAACGAAAGAAGUUGUGGGUUCUGAAGCGCUAAGUAGAUUAGCCAUAGGAAGGUGAAGAAAUAGGUCUGUAUCCUCUCAAUCAGGCGAGAAAGCUGGGUGCCCCCAUCUUCUUUGACUUUUCCGGGCUAGAGAAGUUCGGCACUUUGAGUAUAAUUAUGGUAGUGUAGCAGGUGCAUUCCUUAAAUAUAGUGGUGUCAGUUCAAUCUAAUUCCGGGCUAAUGGGAGUUGUUGAAAUGACAGGUUGCGAGAUCUCCAUUCCAAAAGUGAUAGGCGGGUGAACGAAGGACGGAAUCAGGCUUUGAAGCGCUAAGGUACGAUUGAUAAUGUACUUAUUCCGCUUUUGCGUUAGGAUAGUUCGAAUCGAGUCACUCUGUUCAACUAAUCUUAUUGCCAAUCUUUGAACGAAGAAAUAGUCCGGAUUAUGUUAUGCAUUUGAACCUAACCUAUCCUAACCUAUUCUAAUGGACUUGCUCUUGAAAAACUCCCCUUAGCUGUAGUCUUGCGCCGGCAAACUCUCUUACGCCCGGCUUGGCUUCCCUUUUGCUUGAAAACAUAGUGAUUAACGGCUUACUCACAAACAAACUCUCUCACUAACUUGUGCUUGCUCUUGCGAAUUCCCUAACGCCGAUACGAAGACUGGAACUUUACCACUUGUUUGCGCUCUUCCUAAUACGGAGAUUAGAUUCUUUCCCGCCCUGCCCUACUGUUGUUACUUAUCUUGCAUUAACCUAGCACGAGAUACUCCACUUAUCUUGCAUUGACCUAGCAUGAGACAAAAAACAAGCUUCUUUCUGCGUUAACGAGAUACUUUACUUUAGCUUUAGACUAGACUUGGAGCGCAACUCGAGUUGUUGGGCCAGUGUUCAGAGUCAACCUUAAUAGAAUCUCUCUUGCAUAAUCUAGAAAAUGGUAAGCCUAAUACACUGCAUUGCUUUCUUUGCCUAGACUAUGAAAGUCACCAAACACUAGAGAAACAAACUUAUUAACUGCUUUUUGACUCUUGAAGAACGAAUUGAGUUGACCCCGGCCUUAAUAGUAAUUAGCUAAUGCACUUGGUAUAGAAAUGGAGAAAGAUAAAGCAUCUAUUGAAACAGCUUCUAAAUAGGAUGAAACUGAACAAGCAAUGGAAUCCGCAGAACAUACAAGGACGGGACUUCGAACAAAUAACUGCGAUAAGAAUUCAUUGAGUACAGGAGCCUUGCGUUCGGAUGCCUAUAUUCUUAAAGCACCUUAGUUGGGGUGCCAAUUCUUUCCUUUCGCCCUUCUGCUUACGUGAGUUAGUUUCAGUAAAAGGUUCACUCCUUUCUAUCAGAUCCGAGAUGGAUUCCUUUCGAAAGCCCUUGUACGUGUCGUGCCUUACCUUAGGAAUUGAGUUAGCUUGAGCGUUGUAAGUAAUAAUAAUAAGUGUCUCGUUUUGAGUUUAGAGUGAAGUUACUAAAUUCCAGAAUAAGUAUAUUCGAAAAGCAUAGAGUUUCUAGUGUUGUUACUAAAUUCCAUAAGUGGUGCAGCAGUGCACUCGCAAGCACUUUCCUUUCUUUGUAGCAUAGUCGACUCGGGUGAGCUUUGGAGGAAGGGAAGCAACCAAAUAAUCUCGAAACUUGUAAUCUAAACAAGCAAGGGCGCUAAGAGAGUGAAGUGCAAAGUAUACUCGAUCUGAAGCAACAGUACAGUAAUCUAUAUCCUGAGUAGGAAGAAAUAGGGAUUAGAAGCGGGAAAAUGAGUAAGAGAUAAGAAUAAGGGCGAGGUUAUAUAGAACUAAGUAGUAAAGAGGAGAGGGAUAGUUUNNNNNNNNNNNNNNNNNNNNNNNNNNNNNNNNNNNNNNNNNNNNNNNNNNNNNNNNNNNNNNNNNNNNNNNNNNNNNNNNNNNNNNNNACAGAGGGGUCUCAUAAGAAAGGUUGAGUAGUGGUAUAAUCAGAAAGGUUUCGUAGUGACUUUAGAGUGGAAUUCGCAGAUAUAUAAGUGGCACUAGCUUAAGGAGCUAUUGUAUGUUAUAACCGUCUGACUUUAGUCUUAUAGCUCAAGACGGCUUCUCGUGAUUGACUCUAACUUUCCCUGGGUUCUGCCUUAAAGUAUAGAGAGGGGGAAGGCCAUAAAGGCGAAGCAGCUCCAAAAUGGUGUAUGCUUUAGAGUCGUUCUUUUGAGCUCGCGAGUAUAGUAAGGAAGAAUGGAUCUUCCUGUACCCUCAAUAACAGUAAAGAAAAGAGGUCUGCAAGGUCAGCUGUGGAAUCAGUAAUAGUUAGUUGGCAGACAAGAUCUUACUUAGUUGACAGAGGAGUGGGGAGUCGACUUAACACCGUAAGAAUAGAGAAACAAAGAAGAAACAAAGAGAGAUUUGAGUUCCAUUGACUCAUUACUUGAAGAACGAAUUGAUGUAGCCGAACCCCACUGGACAAAGGCAGAGGAAACACAAGCACCCGAGCCCACAUCUAUUACAUCACACCCCUCCUAUUGAUAAAUAAGGAUCUCCUAUUGAGAAAUAAGGAUGGAAUUGACACCCCCACCCUAGUAACUUCCUUCAACUACUACCCUAUAGCCUAGUAACUUCAUUCAACCAGCAUACCCUACCUG